GCCAGGCGCGGUGGCGCACGCCUGUGAUCCCAGUGGCUUGGAGGCUGAGGCAGGAGGAUCGUAAGUUCAAAGCCAGCCUCAGCAACUUAACAAGGCCCUAAACAACCCAGUGAGAUCCUGUCUCUA
rnacentral:sRNA from 1 species